AUUGAACGCUGGCGGCAUGCCUUACACAUGCAAGUCGAACGGCAGCACGGGUGCUUGCACCUGGUGGCGAGUGGCGAACGGGUGAGUAAUAUAUCGGAACGUACCUUAUUGUGGGGGAUAACGCAGCGAAAGCUGUGCUAAUACCGCAUAAUCCCUAAGGGGGAAAGCGGGGGACCGUAAGGCCUCGCGCAAUUAGAGCGGCCGAGACCUGAUUAGCUAGUUGGUGAGGUAAAGGCUCACCAAGGCAACGAUCAGUAGCUGGUCUGAGGGGACGAUCAGCCACGCUGGGACUGAGACACAGACCAGGCUCCUACGGGAGGCAGCAGUGGGGAAUUUUGGACAAUGGGGGCAACCCUGAUCCAGCAAUGCCGCGUGAGUGAAGAAGGGCUUCGGGUUGUAAAGCUCUUUUGUCAGGGAAGAAACAGCAGCUCUAACACAGUUUGCGAAUGACGGUACCUGAAGAAUAAGCACCGGCUAACUACGUGCCAGCAGCCGCCGUAA
rnacentral:rRNA from 1 species